rnacentral:rRNA from 1 species
AUACGGAGGGUGCAAGCGUUAUCCGGAAUUAUUGGGUUUAAAGGGUCCGCAGGCGGAUUAAUAAGUCAGUGGUGAAAUCCUCUCGCUCAACGAGAGAACUGCCAUUGAAACUGUUAGUCUUGAAUUCGGUCGAAGUAGGCGGAAUGUGUCAUGUAGCGGUGAAAUGCAUAGAUAUGACACAGAACACCGAUAGCGAAGGCAGCUUACUAGACCUGGAUUGACGCUCAUGGACGAAAGCGUGGGGAGCGAACAGGAUUAGAAACCCCGGUAGUCC